GGUUAUAGCUCAGUGGUAAAGCACUUACCUAGCAUGUACGAGGCCCUGGGUUUGAUCCUCAGCACCA
rnacentral:tRNA from 1 species